rnacentral:rRNA from 1 species
UUCCGGUUGAUCCUGCCGGAGGCCACUGCUAUUGGGAUCCGACUAAGCCAUGCGAGUCGAAAGGGUUCGGCCCUCGGCAGACUGCUCAGUAACACGUGGAUAAUCUACCCUUAGGUGGAGGAUACUCUCGGGAAACUGAGAAUAAUACUCCAUAGGUCUAGGAUGCUGGAAUGCACCUAGGUUGAAAGUUCCGGCGCCUAAGGACGAGUCUGCGGACUAUCAGGUAGUAGUCAGGGUAAAGACCUGACUAGCCUACGACGGAUACGGGUUGUGAGAGCAAUAGCCCGGAGACGAUAUCUGAGACACGAUAUCGGGCCCUACGGGGCGCAGCAGGCGCGAAAUCUUCACAAUGUGCGAAAGCACGAUGAGGGGAUCCCAAGUGUUGGCUCGUAAGAGUCAUCUGUUUCUUUGUCUAAAAAACAGAGAGAGUAAGAGCUGGGUAAGACGGGUGCCAGCCGCCGCGGUAAUACCUGCAGCUCAAGUGGUGGCCGCUAUUAUUGGGCCUAAAACGUCCGUAGCCGGUUUAGUAAAUGCCUGGGUAAAUUGUGUAGCUCAACUAUACGAAUACCGGGUAGACUGCUAAACUUGGAACCGGGAGAGGCUAGAGGUACUCCUAGGGUAGAGGUGAAAUUCUGUAAUCCUAGGGGGACCACCAGUGGCGAAGGCGUCUAGCUAGAACGGGUUUGACGGUGAGGGACGAAGCCCUGGGGCGCAAACCGGAUUAGAUACCCGGGUAGUCCAGGGUGUAAACGCUGCUCGCUUGAUGUUAGUCGGGCUCCGAGCCCAACUAGUGUCGGAGAGAAGUUGUUAAGCGAGCUGCCUGGGAAGUACGGUCGCAAGGCUGAAACUUAAAGGAAUUGGCGGGGGAGCACAGCAACGGGUGGAGCGUGCGGUUUAAUUGGAUUCAACGCCGGG